rnacentral:lncRNA from 7 species
GAUUAGAGAAAAAGAACAAGAUUAGCAGCACAGGGUGACCAGAUUAGCACUUACUGAGCUGCUGUAGCUCAAAGCCUGUAAAUCCUCCCUCUGCCCACGGUACUAACUUGGAUGUUGGAGAGACUGUACUUAACGCUAUCUACUGCUGUCACCUCAGAGCAUUGCCUCAUUGUCUCUGAGCCUGGGCAGGCUGACUGCAGAGUCAACUUCACACUCCCACCCUGCAGGAGCUGCUAAAAGAUGCUGAAGUUAAGCACCGUGACACUUUAACUGUGGUUUGGGCUGGAGAAGAGGCCGUUGGCAUCGUGUAACUCUUCAGUGAUGUUUGUACAUUAAAAGAAAAUCGAAGAAACUAGGACGAUUUGGUUAAAAAAGAAGGUUGUGUGAGUUUAAGGCUGCUCAAGGGCAACCUUAAUUUAUGUGCCAAUAAGUUACACAAAUAUUUUCUCUACUAUUCAAUUAAGAACAAGUAGUUUCCUUGGCAACGGCCACAUUACAUGGAACUUACCCGAGCCCUGAGUUCCAGCAGAAUACUUUCCCUAAGAAAGGAACAUACUCAUCUAUCAUGUAAAUGUCUAAUUUGUACACGGUUUUGAGAGAGAGAGGAGAAAAUGGAAUUUCCGGCAAAUUAACACAGCUCUUCUCUUAUACCACAGUCAGGCCAUGCUCUUUUCAGUUAUUUUCCCCUGCUUUUCAUCUCUCUUUCAAUGAUAACUUUCGUAUGAAAAUUGUGAAAGAAUAAGCCCUGUGAUGGAAUUGUAUAAAAAUCUGUAGGAAGAGGAAAAGAUGUUGGUGAAAGGAUACAUUUAGGGGAAUCCAGCUUAAAAACAGGAAGGUGGCAGUCUAUUUUAUUUGUUAAUGCUGCUGCUGCUGAAAAAGCAUGCUGUGGUCAGUUAUGAUAACAGUGAUUGGUUCUUUUGUGGAUAAAAAUAAAGGAUCCCAGCCUGAUUACACAUCAGAUUGCUAUUUCCUUUUAAACUAUCACCUUUCUCAGUCUGGCAGUUACUCUGCCCCAUAACCCUUGCCAGAUUUCUGGCUUUUCAAGUAUGCAGAUCCCUUUGGAGGUGUACCUCCAGUAUGGCUGUUACCAUGAUAAGGGCCCUCUCCCACUCCUGAGACUUUCCCCAAAAAGCAAAGUGAAAAUCUGCCAUUGAAGCCCAGCAUAAACAUCAUCCCUGGUUGUGAACACAUGCAGCUCUGUAAAAAGGGGAGAAGCCUGCACCACCUUCCUUUCAGAAGGAAUGCAUUAUUCCCUUUCCGUAGGCUUCAGCUCUCUUUCCAGUUGAGGCUGUGAUGGGCUUCCCCAGCAAAGUCUGUUCUUUACUCUUCCAUUCUCACAACCCUGUCAUGGAAAAUGGAUUUGGCAUUGUCAGAUUCAAUCUCCCAGGGAAUCUUUAUGCAAAUUGAAAUAAAAUCUGUCCCUCUGCUUUCAUACCAUAGUGCACAUUCAAUCCAUACUUCAAUUUUACAUGUUUAAGAUGUUAUUCCACAGCAUUUUCCCCCAUUACUGUGCUCAUUAGCAGAAUUAAGCUGGAGUUCAUUAUUUUAUUUUGUCACUGAGAGUACUCCUGUAGUGGUAGGAUGCUGCACUAUCUGAGUCUAUUAUGUUUUUCUCCCAUCUGCCUGUUUGCUUCAGUUCAUUUAAUAUAAAAAUGAAAGGUCUCUGAUUUAAUCACAUCUUUCGACAUAAAAAAAGAUGCAGGAUUAUGUAACAGAUAUCUUACUGUAGCUUCCCUAUCCUACUGAACUGUGCUCUGCUCUGAGGUAACAACCAUUCUGUGCCACAUUGCAAAAAUAAUUUCUCAUAAUCUACUAUUAGAUUAAUUAUUUCCUGUUUUACAAGUCCCAGAGUUACUAACCCAGAGAUAAUAUGUGAUUAUAUAUCUGGAAUUAGAGGUCUGCAUGAAGAUGUCAUUGAGAUGAAACGCAUGUUUCUUUUUACUUGAUAAAAUGAUCAGAGUUGGCAAUUCUAUGGCUAAUGCAAGAUUUUCAGAGUCUGUCACUAUUUAUUUUCUUUAAGCACCUGAGAAUUACAUACAGUGUGAUAAAGGCAUUCUCAGCUUGUAGUG